rnacentral:rRNA from 1 species
UAACGUAGCGAAAGUUACGCUAAUACCGCAUACGAUCUAAGGAUGAAAGCAGGGGAUCUUCGGACCUUGUGCUCCUGGAGCGGCCGAUAUCUGAUUAGCUAGUUGGUGAGGUAAAGGCUCACCAAGGCCACGAUCAGUAGCUGGUCUGAGAGGACGACCAGCCACACUGGAACUGAGACACGGUCCAGACUCCUACGGGAGGCAGCAGUGGGGAAUUUUGGACAAUGGGCGAAAGCCUGAUCCAGCAAUGCCGCGUGAGUGAAGAAGGCCUUCGGGUUGUAAAGCUCUUUUGUCAGGGAAGAAACGGUGAGGGCUAAUAUCCCUCGCUAAUGACGGUACCUGAAGAAUAAGCACCGGCUAACUACGUGCCAGCAGCCGCGGUAAUACGUAGGGUGCAAGCGUUAAUCGGAAUUACUGGGCGUAAAGCGUGCGCAGGCGGUUUUGUAAGUCUGACGUGAAAUCCCCGGGCUCAACCUGGGAAUUGCGUUGGAGACUGCAAGGCUAGAAUCUGGCAGAGGGGGGUAGAAUUCCACGUGUAGCAGUGAAAUGCGUAGAGAUGUGGAGGAACACCGAUGGCGAAGGCAGCCCCCUGGGUCAAGAUUGACGCUCAUGCACGAAAGCGUGGGGAGCAAACAGGAUUAGAUACCCUGGUAGUCCACGCCCCUAAACG